AUACGUAGGGGGCGAGCGUUGUCCGGAAUGAUUGGGCGUAAAGGGCGCGUAGGCGGCCCGGUAAGUCUGGAGUGAAAGUCCUGUUUUUAAGAUGGGAAUUGCUUUGGAUACUGUCGGGCUUGAGUGCAGGAGAGGUAAGUGGAAUUCCCAGUGUAGCGGUGAAAUGCGUAGAGAUUGGGAGGAACACCAGUGGCGAAGGCGACUUACUGGACUGUAACUGACGCUGAGGCGCGAAAGUGUGGGGAGCGAACAGGAUUAGAUACCCUGGUAGUCCACGCGGUAAACGAUGAAUGCUAGGUGUAGGGGGUAUCGACCCCUUCUGGGCCGGAGUAAACGCAAUAAGCAUUCCGCCUGGGGAGUACGGCCGCAAGGUUGAAACUCAAAUGAAUUGACGGGG
rnacentral:rRNA from 1 species